GCCGCGGUGACGGAAUUGGCAGACGUAGCGGACUCAAAAUCCGCCGAGAGCAAUCUCAUGGGAGUUCGACUCUCCCCCGCGGCA
rnacentral:tRNA from 1 species